AGCGAACGCUGGCGGCAGGCCUAACACAUGCAAGUCGAACGAAGUCUCCGGACUUAGUGGCGGACGGGUGAGUAACACGUGGGAACGUGCCUUUAGGUUCGGAAUAACUCAGGGAAACUUGUGCUAAUACCGAAUGUGCCCUUCGGGGGAAAGAUUUAUCGCCUUUAGAGCGGCCCGCGUCUGAUUGGCUAGUUGGUGAGGUAAAGGCUCACCAAGGCUACGAUCAGUAGCUGGUCUGAGAGGAUGACCAGCCACAUUGGGACUGAGACACGGCCCAAACUCCUACGGGAGGCAGCAGUGGGGAAUCUUGCGCAAUGGGCGAAAGCCUGACGCAGCCAUGCCGCGUGGAUGAUGAAGGUCUUAGGAUUGUAAAAUCCUUUCACCGGUGAAGAUAAUGACUGUAGCCGGAGAAGAAGCCCGGGCUAACUUCGUGCCAGCCGCCGCAGUAAAAC
rnacentral:rRNA from 1 species